rnacentral:rRNA from 1 species
CAAUAGCGUAUAUUAAAGGUGUUGCGGUAAAAAAGCUCGUAGUUGGAUUUCUGUUGAGAGCGACCGGUCCAUACCAUGUAUGCGUAUCUGGCUUGCUCUCGGCAUCCUCUCGAUAGACGUUACUGCGCUUGAUUGCGUGGUGCGGAUCUCGGGACUUUUACUUUGAGGAAAUUAGAGUGUUCACGGCAGGCUUUCGCCAGAAUACAUUAGCAUGGAAUAAUACUAUAGGAUCUUGGUUCUAUUUUGUUGGUUUCUAGAAUUGAGAUAAUGAUUAAUAGGGACAAUUGGGGGCAUUCGUAUCAACACGUCAGAGGUGGAAUUCUUGGAUUGUGUUGCGACGAACUACUGCGAAAGCAUUUGCCAAGGAUGUUUUCAUUGA